rnacentral:rRNA from 1 species
UACGAAGGGGGCUAGCGUUGUUCGGAUUUACUGGGCGUAAAGCGCACGUAGGCGGAUCGAUCAGUCAGGGGGUGAAAUCCCAGAGCUCAACUCUGGAACUGCCUUUGAUACUGUCGAUCUGGAGUAUGGAAGAGGUGAGUGGAAUUCCGAGUGUAGAGGUGAAAAUUCGUAGAUAUUCGGAGGAACACCAGUGGCGAAGGCGGCUCACUGGUCCAUUACUGACGCUGAGGUGCGAAAGCGUGGGGGAGCAAACAGG